rnacentral:rRNA from 1 species
UACGUAGGGGGCAAGCGUUAUCCGGAUUUACUGGGUGUAAAGGGGGCGCAGACGGAAUCGUAAGCCAGAUGUGAAAGCCCCGGGCUCAGCCCGGGGAGUGCAUUUGGAACUGCGGAUCUAGAGUACUGGAGGGGCAGGCGGAAUUCCUGGUGUAGCGGUGAAAUGCGUAGAUAUCAGGAAGAACACCGGUGGCGAAGGCGGCCUGCUGGACAGAGACUGACGUUGAGGCCCGAAAGCGUGGGGAG